UACGGAGGGUGCAAGCGUUAUCCGGAAUCACUGGGUUUAAAGGGUGCGUAGGCGGCCUGGUAAGUCAGGGGUGAAAGCUUCCCGCUCAACGGGAGAACUGCCCUUGAUACUGCCAGGCUCGAAUUGGGUUGAGGCCGGCGGAACGUGGCAUGUAGCGGUGAAAUGCUUAGAUAUGCCAUAGAACACCGAUUGCGAAGGCAGCCGGCCAAGCCUUGAUUGACGCUGAGGCACGAAAGCGUGGGGAGCGAACAGG
rnacentral:rRNA from 1 species